UACGGGGGGAGCAAGCGUUGUUCGGAUUUACUGGGCGUAAAGGGCGCGUAGGCGGUCAGCACAGGUCAGUUGUGAAAUCUCCGGGCUUAACUCGGAAAGGUCAACUGAUACUGUGCGACUAGAGUGCAGAAGGGGCAACUGGAAUUCUCGGUGUAGCGGUGAAAUGCGUAGAUAUCGAGAGGAACACCUGCGGCGAAGGCGGGUUGCUGGGCUGACACUGACGCUGAGGCACGAAGGUCAGGGGAGCAAACGGG
rnacentral:rRNA from 1 species